GCCGAAAGGCAGGAGUGCCCGCAAGGGAACGCGGAGACAGGUGGUGCAUGGCUGUCGUCAGCUCGUGUCGUGAGAUGUUGGGUUAAGUCCCGCAACGAGCGCAACCCUCACCCCUUGUUGCCAUCAGGUGAUGCUAGGCACUCUAGAGGAACUGCCCCGGUCAACGGGGAGGAAGGCGGGGACGACGUCAAGUCAUCAUGCCCCUUACGUCCUGGGCUACACACGUGCUACAAUGGCCGGUACAGAAGGAUGCUAGACCGCGAGGUAAAGCUAAACCCAAAAAGCCGGUCUAAGUUCAGAUUGGAGUCUGCAACUCGACUCCAUGAAGAAGGAAUCGCUAGUAAUCGCGUAUCAGCACGACACGGUGAAUACGUUCCCGAGCCUUGUACACACCGCCCGUCACACCACGAAAGCCAGCUGUACUCGAAGUCGCUGAG
rnacentral:rRNA from 1 species